CCAUCCUCGCCAUUGCCAGUUUGCCAGUUUGAUAGAAACUUAGCAGCAAGGGCACUUCAGUACCUUCAUCUGGCUUCUCUGAGAAGAGGCAACUCACAACUGUGCCCCUUCGUCUGGCUUUUGCUAACAUCCCUUGCAGCUUCUCCAGGGCUCGCUCUGUGCUUGCACAGUGCUGACCGGAGCUGAAUCAACAUGUAUACAACUCCAGCCCAAGUUCCCUUCUCUUGAAUAAUCUAGGAAGAAAAGAUAAUACUCAGUCUCAAGUUUGUCCUCAAGAACUCUAGGGCCAUGAGGUUUUUGGGUCUUAAUUGAAGUGUUAGCACAGUGAAGCUCCACCUCAGCAGCAUCCAGCCUCUGUCGUGGUCAUCAUUGUCACCAUCAUCGUCACCAACAUCAUCAUCAGCACCAGCAGCAGGCGGGUAUGAAGCGCCUUACUCUUACGAAGCUACACAGGGAAAUGAGCAGUUCUUGCCUUGUUUGAACAUGGUUUGAACAUGGCUACUGGCUGAUCCUACCCCUAUAAUCGUCUCACUCUUGCCCUGUGCAAAUAACAUACUUCUACAGCCUGAAUUCACGGGGUGAUGCAAAGACCACUGGACUCCUGAAGUAGCAGAUUUGGGUGCUAGAUUUGGUUCUACAGCUUCCUGGUUCUGUAACCUUGGACACGUCCCUUGUCUUAUUUGACCUUCGGUUUCUGCAUCUGUCAAAAAAUCUGUCAAAAAGGAAAACAGACCCUGUGGAUUUGCUACUUACCAGCCCUGUGACUUUGGUCAAGCUACUUAACCUUCAACUCUAAGCCUCAGAGUCUUUAACUGUAAAAUGGGUUACUAACAGUAUGUACC